CCAAUAGCGUAUAUUAAAGUUGUUGCAGUUAAAAAGCUCGUAGUUGAAUUUCGGGAUUGACACAUCGGUCGUGCCUUAAGGGGUAUGAACUGGUGUAGUCAAUUUCUCACCUUCUGGAGAACCGCGAUGCCCUUAAUUGGGUGUCGCGGGGAACCAGGACCUUUACUUUGAAAAAAUUAGAGUGUUUAAAGCAGGCAUUUUGCUUGAAUACAUUAGCAUGGAAUAAUAAAAUAGGACGGCAUGAUUCUAUUUUGUUGGUUUCUAGGAUCACCGUAAUGAUUAAUAGGGAUAGUUGGGGGCAUUAGUAUUCAAUUGUCAGAGGUGAAAUUCUUGGAUUUAUUGAAGACUAACUACUGCGAAAGCAUUUGCCAAGGAUGUUUUCAUUAAUCAAGAACGAAAGUUAGGGGAUCGAAGACGAUCAGAUACCGUCGUAGUCUUAACCAUAAACUAUGCCGACUAGGGAUCGGAUGAUGUUAAUUUUUUAAUGACUCAUUCGGCGCCUUACG
rnacentral:misc_RNA from 1 species